UGGAAAGCACAGUUACUAAUUUUAAAAUAACAAAGAAGCACAUAAAAUUGUGUAAAACAGAUUCGAUAAGCAAUUUUACAAGCGAUCUGCUUCCUACAAUUUUUACUCUUAAAGAAUUAGGUACUUCAAGUGUAAAAGGAACACAAUGUAAUGCGAAUGUUAAGAAAGGUUAUAUAGCAAAGCCUCCAUUUGAUCAAAUUAAGCUGAAAGCUUUUAAAAGUUUUGUUUUAAAGAAAUUUGGAUGUACAAGAGAUAAUAAAUCUUUUGUCAAUGCAGCUACAAGGAACAAAUUAAAUGAGGCUGCAAGGAGAUUAAAAGAAGAAGAAAUGCUUUAAAAAAUAUAUUGUUUUUUUAUUAAAAAGAUUAAUCAAAACAUUAAAAUUAAUUAAAAUUUAAUUGUUUUUUAAGUAGUAUUAGAAUCAAAUAGAAGUUGAUUAAAUAUUACAUUAAUUUUAUCAUAUUCAAUUGACUUCCAUCGAUCCUGAUUUUACUUCAAUCAGUUUAAAAAAAAAAA